CAAAUGCAACAGCAGCAUAUGAAACAAACUCAGCACCAGCAGGUACUCAUGCAACAACAACAAGUGAUACAAGUGUACAACAAGCAACAAGUUCUGAACCUGCAACAAACACAGCAACUGAACCUCCUAUGGUAUUGGAUCCUGAACGUUGCACAACAAAAGGAAGGAACAAAAGACCACGAGGACCAUUUGUCAAAAAGAAGAAGGGAAAAACUGCAGCGCCUCCAACAGCAGACUUUGGAACAAUAACUCCAAAUUUGAGAUUAUUUUGAUUCUUUUAAUGUUUUAUAUCAAAAAUAGAAUUUAAUUUUUUCUUAAAGUUAAAGUUAAGGUUUAUGAAGUUAAAGUUUAACAUUCUGAAGUUAAAGUUUACUAGACUUGAGAACUUAGUAAAAGUUUCUUUACAUUGAAAGUUUGAAUAUAUACAUUAAAAUUUAGUGAAGUAUAAUAUUUCUCUGAAGUGUA